AGUGAACGCUGGCGGUAGGCCUAACACAUGCAAGUCGAACGGCAGCACAGUAAGAGCUUGCUCUUACGGGUGGCGAGUGGCGGACGGGUGAGGAAUACAUCGGAAUCUACUUUUUCGUGGGGGAUAACGUAGGGAAACUUACGCUAAUACCGCAUACGACCUACGGGUGAAAGCAGGGGACCUUCGGCCCUUGCGCGAUUGAAUGUGCGGAUGUCGGAUUAGCUAGUUGGCGGGGUAAAGGCCCACCAAGGCGACGAUCCGUAGCUGGUCUGAGAGGAUGAUCAGCCACACUGGAACUGAGACACGGUCCAGACUCCUACGGGAGGCAGCAGUGGGGAAUAUUGGACAAUGGGCGCAAGCCUGAUCCAGCCAUACCGCGUGGGUGAAGAAGGCCUUCGGGUUGUAAAGCCCUUUUGUUGGGAAAGAAAAGCAGCAGGUUAAUACCCCGCUGUUCUGACGGUACCAAAAGAAUAAGCACCGGCUAACUUCGUG
rnacentral:rRNA from 1 species